rnacentral:ribozyme from 12 species
UCACAAAACAAAACAAACAAAAACAAACAAAAAUUUGAAAAAAAAUUGAAAAAGAAGCGGACGGCAACAUAAGAAUGCCUUUUUGCUGUGGUCUCUCUUUCAUUUCUUAUUCAUUUUUCUUCC